rnacentral:rRNA from 1 species
GACGAACGCUGGCGGCGUGCUUAACACAUGCAAGUCGAACGGAAAGACCCUGCUUUUGUGGGGUGCUCGAGUGGCGAACGGGUGAGUAACACGUGAGUAACCUGCCCUUGACUUUGGGAUAACUUCAGGAAACUGGGGCUAAUACCGGAUAGGAGCUCCUGCUGCAUGGUGGGGGUUGGAAAGUUUCGGCGGUUGGGGAUGGACUCGCGGCUUACCAGCUUGUUGGUGGGGUAGUGGCUUACCAAGGCUUUGACGGGUAGCCGGCCUGAGAGGGUGACCGGCGACAUUGGGACUGAGAUACGGCCCAGACUCCUACGGGAGGCAGCAGUGGGGAAUAUUGCACAAUGGGCGGAAGCCUGAUGCAGCAACGCCGCGUGCGGGAUGACGGCCUUCGGGUUGUAAACCGCUUUCGCCUGUGACGAAGCGUGAGUGACGGUAAUGGGUAAAGAAGCACCGGCUAACUACGUG